rnacentral:misc_RNA from 1 species
GGGGGGGGUAUCUUGGUCGACAGGAAUCAGUUCACCCAGGACACUCCUGACCUCAAGACGUGCUCCAGUGGGAGCAAGAUGCCGAGUGGUGUAGACAAGCGCGACAUUGGACUAGGCGCUGCCUUGUUAUGGAGCAUUGAACUCCGUCGCUGGGAGAGAGAGAGCACCAAGUACUCCACAAUACCACACAGGCAGCGAGCACGAGGGCCAGGGUGUGAAACCCCGGGUUUGAACUCCGGUUUGCAGCCUCAGGACCACUAGUGGGCUCAGCUGAAUCCCAGCCGUCAUUGCUUUCACCAUGUUGUGGUGUAGUGGUCUAGGACGUUACCUUGGGAAUACCUAGUUUGAAUUCGACUCCUUAUGGCUUCUACUGUUUUACUGUUUUUCUCUUUGAUUAUAUAUAUAUAUAUAUAUAUAUAUAUAUAUAUAUAUAUAUAUAUAUAUAUAUAUAUAUAAGUGUAUUCAACGCUCAGUCACACUAACGUGGCAGAAGAAUUGAUGACCAAACCACCACUUAAAAGAUGGAGAAGGGAGGACGUUUGGGUCCGUCAUGGACCAUUAUCAACAUCACACGACUUAAGAACGGUCCAGGACGGACCAACAUUCUCCCUUCUUCAUCUACUGUGUUGUGGUCAUCGUGAGUAUAUUUAACUCUGUGUAUGGUACUGAGAGAGAAGCAGCAGCAUCAGUGUUGUUCAAUACAUUAUAAUAUACAUGUUAAUGUACAAGUUAACAUUCCCACUCCAUGUUUAUAAGUCACCAACCACGCUAGAGUUGUCACGUGUCACGAGUAGUAAUAGUCACCUGGAACACUUGCCUUGAUCAAGGCAUUAUAGCUCAAUCUUUUAACAUUUUCAUAAAUAUAUUAAGAGUAUCUAUUAAGCUACAUUAUAUAUAUAUAUAUAUAUA